UAUUUUAUUUUAUUAGAUAUUUUUUAAUAUUGCAUAUUAUUUUUAGAACUUCCGAAUAUUUUUAUAAGUGGAAUUAGAGAGGUUAUAUUAUUUUUGUUUUUUGGUUAAACUAAAAAAGAUAGGUAAUUUAGUGUUGAAAAAUCGUUCUCUAGGAUAACUGUUUUUAUUAUAUUAUUUAUAUAUUAUUUACUUUUUGUAUUUAAUAUAUAUGAAGAAUUUAAAGUUUUUUAUUUUAAUGUUUAAUAACUUUAUAUUAUACCAGGUUUUGUUUUAUUAAUAAUCAUUAAAUUUGAUGAUUUUUAUAAUUAAGAAUUUAGUAUUUUUGUUAAUAUUAUAAUUAGUAUUAAUAUAAAAAAUGAAAUUGACUUACAGAUAAAUGUUUUUUAAAAUCUUUUAUUAUAUUUUAUAAUUUUCUUCUGCUCUAUGAUAUACUUAAAUGGCAGUCUUAGCGUGAGGACAUUAAAGUAGCAUAAUCCAUUGUAUCUUUAUUGGGUUCGAGUAUGAAUGAGGGUCUAUCUGUUAUUUUAUUUUUUUAUUAAAGAAUUAUUUGAGGUAUAAAAAUAUAUCUUUAUAAUAAAGUAAAGAAAAGUCUUCGGAAAUUUUUAUAUAAUUUUUGUUAUUCAAUUAAUUAUGUUUUUCCUGGGAGAGGAUAUUAGGUAAUUAUUUUUACUAUAUAUUAAUUUUAAAAAUUACUCCGGAGUUAACAGGGAAUUCUAUUAUAUUUAGAUUUUAUAAUUUAAUAGAUUCUACAUCGAUGUUGUAUUAUAGUUAUUUGGGGAAUAGAUAUCCUAAUUAUUUAGACUGUUCUUCUUUUAAACUAUACUUGAUAUUAGUUUAGUUCGUCGUAAGACAGAGCGGUUUAUCUUAUUUAUUAUUUUUUUAGUCACUUUUUUAGUACGAGAGGAAUAGAAGUUUGAUUUUUUAAAAAAAUUUAUUUUUAU
rnacentral:rRNA from 1 species